AUUGAACGCUGGCGGCAUGCCUUACACAUGCAAGUCGAACGGUAACAGGUUAAGCUGACGAGUGGCGAACGGGUGAGUAAUGUAUCGGAACGUGCCCAGUCGUGGGGGAUAACGUAGCGAAAGCUACGCUAAUACCGCAUACGAUCUACGGAUGAAAGCGGGGGAUCGCAAGACCUCGCGCGAUUGGAGCGGCCGAUAUCAGAUUAGGUUGUUGGGGAGGUAAAAGCUCACCAAGCCUGCGAUCUGUAGCUGGUCUGAGAGGACGACCAGCCACACUGGAACUGAGACACGGUCCAGACUCCUACGGGAGGCAGCAGUGGGGAAUUUUGGACAAUGGACGCAAGUCUGAUCCAGCAAUGCCGCGUGCAGGACGAAGGCCUUCGGGUUGUAAACUGCUUUUGUACGGAACGAAACGGUGAGCUCUAAUACAGUUUGCUAAUGACGGUACCGUAAGAAUAAGCACCGGCUAACUACGUGCCAGCAGCCGCGGUAA
rnacentral:rRNA from 1 species